AACGUGGGGCUCGAUCCCAUGAACUGUGAGAUCAUGACCUCAGCCGAAAUCAAGAUGCUUAACUGUUUGAGCCACUCAGGCAUCCCCUGACGUUUUCUUUUGUCCUUCUUAUCCAUCAAGUACAACUGACCAAAAAUUACACCAGAGAGACUCCUCACACAGUUUAUUUUUGAGAGACUGCUCUUGCUUACUACUGCACUAGCAAUAAUGAUGGGCACAGAGGGACCAGAUGUGUUGCCUGCCCUUUUGGAGCCUCUAAUUUGCUCGGGGAGAAGAGACUUAGAAAACUGAGAAUAUCCUUAUCUAGUAGGAAGUAGAAAGUAGGAGUAGGAGGGAGUAGGAAGGGCUUGCAUAGUAUUGCUGAGGGAACAGAAUGUGGAAGCCACCAACUUCCCAAGACCCAAGUGAUGCUCAGGUCCUGUCAGAGAGAAAGCUAGAAGAGGAGACUAGGAAGUCAGUAGCCAGACGGGGUGUGGCUCAGCUAUUGUCCUCCUUUUCCUGCCCCUUCUGCACUUGCAGUGGCACCAGGCGAUGACAUUAAGGGCAAAUCUGGAGUUCAUGGUAUAUGUCUGCGUGUUUGUAGGAGUGUGGUGGGGAGGGAAAGUCCAAAUAUAUUGUCUGAUCGUUCUCCACCUGUGGUGAGGUUAGGGGGAGCUCCAGUUUCUGGCUGUCAUCCAGGAGCUACUUGUGUUACUGUUUGCAUCAACAUGAUGCCCACAGGUAAUCUAGAGAAAAUAAACUAACUGGAUUAUGAGCUAAAGAAUCAUGUGGGCUUUUCUCCUGCUAGGAUCUCAACAGCUGUUCCAGGACAAACAUUGCCCGAUAAGACUGCCCCCAUCACAGGAUGAAUCUAAAGGACUUCAUUGUGUUUCUUGAGUAUGAUGAAGGGCUGUCCUGAGUCCUGUCGACAGUGAGGGGAUGUUGCACUGAUCAGACCAGGGCUGCUAUUUUUCUGGAUGAAUAGUGAAAUUUGACUCCUUAUUGCCUGCUUCAUCCGAACACAUCACAGAGCAAUUGCCAACAAGCAGUUCUUCUGGAUAAUGUCCUGAGCCUCAUUUUCCAUAUUAGAACACGUGGAAUGCUAAAAUCAAAAAGAUGCAUUUCAAAAUAUUGAACAGUGAAAUGUCAUGUUAUCUGUGAUUGCUUUGAAAUACUUCAGCAAGGGAAAAAAAGAAUGAAGCAAGUAAGUAUCGCAUUCAUAAUUAUUAAAUUUGGGUGAUGUGA